rnacentral:lncRNA from 1 species
GGGGGAGGGUUGAGAUCUCACAAACAUGUUUAACCUCGCCGCAUUUUUGCGCCUGUCCCAAGUCAGGAGCCUCUGGCCUUUGUUAGUCUUGUAUUAUUUUAAUUUUAGUUUCUUGUGUACAAUUUGGAAAUUAGUAUGGCGUUCAUUAUCACUGGACUAGUAUAUAUUUGUUUAGGGGCCAGCUGAAGGACGCCUCCGGGUGCGGGAAUUUCUCGCUACAUUGAAGACCUGUUGGUGACCCUCUGCUGUUGUUUUUUAUUUGGUCGGGUUGUUGUCUCUUUGACACAUUCCCCAUUUCCUUUCUCAAUUUUAUACAACAA